ensembl:lncRNA
AUCAAUCAGUUUGAUCUGUGUGUUCUUUGAUUAUUGAUCAGUGAUGUCAGAGUGGAGUCAGUGUGAUGUUGUUGUUGUGUGUUUGAGACUUUUAGUGUCCAUGAAGGUCUCUGCUGCCGUAGAUCCUCUGAACUGUGACAGAGGUCUCACUCUGGAGGAAACUCUCAGCACUUUCCAGCAGCUCCUCCAUCAUGGAGGACGUUCCCUCACUGUAACAGGUGGAGGAGAGAGGAGAGGAAGCACAGGUGGAUCCUCUGAGGAAGAGGAGCGUUCCUACAAACCACAUGAUCACAUGACCAGAGGGGCGUGGCCUUCAGUGGUAGUAAUAAAGGAACAGUCCACAUGUUCCACUUUGAAGGCUCAUCUCCAACAAAGCAGACCUGUGAUCACUUUAACUCAGUAUGAUGGAUUGUUUGGAUUUGUCUUUGUUUCUCUGGCUUUUCUUGUGUGUCUGUGUGUCUUUGUAUGUUGGAUAGAGUCAUGUGACCUGCCCAGGGACUACACAUGCUCACGGCACUUUUACACUUUUCUAGCCUUUUAGGCACGACUGCAAAACUUUGGACAUUUCCAUAAAUGUGAGAAGACAUUAAAGACCUCGGGGAGUGAUGCUCCCUUUAUUGGAUUUUGGCUCAUGUCCUUGCAGUUUCUCACAUUACAAAUAUCUUUGUUGUCUUCUGUUUCACUUCAAUGAUGUUCUCUCAAGGGCAGCAACAUGUCUGCCAUGUUUCUGCAAACAGACAAAAGAACAGUAAUAAUUAGGAUUAUUAGCCAAUCGGUGCCUCUUCCUGUUUAUCACAAUGUUACCGUUAUUUAGAAAAUAGCUGUUGGUGAACAGCCUCUCCCGUCUGUGGACCCUCAGUACUGCCGGACUCAUCUCAUACUGAACACACCCACUCUGUGUCAAUCAUCAGUGGAUUCACUGUUUCUCAGGUUUCAUUAAAGGUUUUUCUACAUUCUUUGUUCCUGUCAGAGCGUCACGUGAGUCAUUAAACAUCAGUGAUCAGUAUAAAUAUGGAACAUGUACAGGACACGUCAGUCUGUGUGGACCUGCUGAUGUCAUCACUGUGUUUACUUUAUUGUUUGUUGUCUUAUGGUCGGGAUUCAGAAAUGUUCACUGCCAUCACGUGUGUGUGUGUGUGUGUGUGUGUGUGUGUGUGUGUGUGUGUGUGUGUGUGUGUGUGUGUGUGUGUGUGUGUGUGUGUGUUUUUGGGGCGUCCACACUGUAACACUAUGUCAGGUUGACUCACUGUGAGAGAAGAACAGUGACUGGAACAAUCUGAGCUCAUAUUGUGAAUAGAAGAAGAGAGAGCUGUGCCCACUGGAGCUCAAACAGAAACAUUAAGAUUCAUUAAACAUUAUGAAGAGAAGUAAACCAGUUAAACUAACUUAAAAGUCUGAAUGAUUAAGUUAAGUGUUUGCUCGUAGGGGGUCAUCGACCUCAUGUUUGUCAAUGUGGGAACUUUGUGUCGACUAAAUGCAACUUAAAGCUUGACGGUUGCCCAAAUGUUUUAAAGAAGUUGAUGAAUUCAAAAAGCUGUGACACUUGUUGCUCAACAUUUUUUAAUUUUUGUUUUCAAAGCUUCUUCUGGUACGAAACUGACAUGCCAGUGGGAGGAGUCAGCAGACGACCUGCUCUACCUGCUGAGCCACAGGUGGAGUCAUCAGGGUGGAGUCGUUUCAGUAAGGACAGAUCAAUAGAAAGAAUGAAGAUGAGUUAUUGAUGAGCAGAAUAUAGACAGAUGUUUGGUGGUUAGACUCCGAUGGCCCGUCUCAGCAGAACUGAACCCAGCUGUGACAGGAUUAGAGCAGGACCCCAAAGAAAGAAAGUGAUGUCACCACAGCAGAGUUCUGGUCUACAGGGAAAAGAACAUGAGUGUUAAAGGUGAUGCAUGGCACAGGUAAGCAUAGCAAGCAUGAGCACAGAGAAGGGUGAGAAACUGAAGAAGGGUCUGGAAGAUCCUGACCAGGUCCAGAGGCCAGCAUGAUGUCCUGAGGAACAGACGCCCAAAGCAUCGGCGUGAGUGUCGGGCAGCCCUGUGAUAGCAGGACAUGUUUGGUAUUCAGUCAGAAAUGAAAAGGGAGACAGUGAAAGGGCAGAGGGAUGCAGAGGCCAGGAGAGAGUUUGAUCCGUCUGAUGAUGACAGCAGAGAAUGAAAGUCCUUCAGCUUGGUUUAGGUUCAGGGCCACAGAUGGUCGUCAGAAAGCAGAGAGCCGAGAGGGUGGAGGGAGAUUUGGAAAGAUUUGGAGAGGAGAUAAGGAGAUAAGGCCAGGAAAGAAGAAGCUGCUACGCUUCACUUACAUAUAUGAACUGUCCACUUCCUGUGUGGCUGCAGGUGAUGGAGGCUUGUUUCCUGCUGCUGCCGCACAAUCAGUGCAGUACAAAACAUGAAGGUGAUGGAGGAGCUCACAGCAGGUCCCAGCUGCACAGGUGGUGUUUGUGUUGAAAGGACACGCCCCCUCCUCAUUCCUCGCCUCCUUGGCCCACCUGAGAGGCGAGCAGAGGAGGAGAGAGGAGUGCGGCCAGUGCAGCUGUGGAGCUCACAAUGUUGGGGAGUAACAGACUACAUGUACUGAGUUACUUAUUUAAAAUACAAAAUAUGAGUAACUGUAUUCUGU